rnacentral:lncRNA from 1 species
CCUUAGGAGUGUUUCAACAUAUGGAGACACGAGAAGUCUCACUCAACAGUUUGCAUUCAUUUUUUUUAGGUAGCUCCAUGCCCCACGUGGAGCCCAAAGCAGGGCCAGAACUCACAACCCUGAGAUCAAGACUGGAGCUGAGAACAAGAGUCAGACUCCUAACACACGGAACCAUCCAGGUGCCCCUCAUUCUUUUCUGAUCUGCUGAAUCAGUACCCUUAGGCAGACCCGGAAUAUUCCCUUUGGUAUAUCUGGUGAAAAGGUAUGCACAGUUUUAACACUCUUUUUUUUUUUUUUUUAAGAUUUUAUUUUGAGAGAGAGAGAGCAUGAGCAGGGAGAGGGAGACUCUGAAGCAGGCUCUGCACUGAGCGUGGAGCCCGACACCGGGCUCGAUCUCACGUCCAGGAGAUCAUGCCCUGAGCUAAAACCAAGAGUCGGACGCUUAACGACUGAGCCACCCAGGCGCCACCAUUUUCAGCACUCCAGACAUGGACUUAGUGGCAUAUUCUUUUGAUUAACCUCAAGGAUGACAAAUCAUCAGUAGAUUUUAUUUUUAAGUAAUUGAAACUCAUAUGGCGCUAUGUCUCAGGAAUGAGGAGACAGAGAAGCUGAAGAAUGUGAUAAGGUGCAGAAUUUUCUGGAUUCACCACUACACUCUCGUUACAACUCAGUGCCAGGGCAUGGAACCCAGGCCUGCGGGAAAUGCUCAUCUAGGCCGUGAAUUGUUGGGCCUCCCAGGCUUUGUGUCGCCACUACCUGGGAUGAGUCACCUGGAGUUUUACACCACUGAGUGUCAGCCCUCAGGUGAGCUGUUCCAGCACAGGGCUGUCUCCUCCCAGAUGCGUGUAUUCGUUGGAAGGGCGUCAGUCAUGUUGGAUAAGAGGCCCUCCCUACUUCUGUAUGACCUCAUCUUAAUGACACCUGCCAAGACCCCAUCUCCAAAUAAGUUCACACUUCUAGGUACCCGGAUUAAGGCUGUAGCCCAUCUUUUGGGGGGACACAAUUGAACCCACUAUGACUUUGCUUUCUUUGUCCUGCUUACGCCAAUUUUUAACAAUUUAUGUGAAUGAAUGCAAAUGUAACUCUAAUUAUGUGCCAGUCACUGUUCUAAGAGCUUUACCUCUAGGGGUCCGUGUAAUCCUCCCAAUACCCUAUCAGACAUAUGCCCCUAUCAGGCACUUUACAGGGGAUGGAACUGCGGCAGAUAGCCACUGACGCCCUCGGCGACAAGCUGCUAAGGUAAAGAUGGAUUACACACGCGCCUGUGGACUUGCCUGGACGGUUAAUCCCUCACCAGUGAUACCGCUCUCUCCAAUGAUUACUUCCUCACAGACCUUUAAACACGAUCCACUUCAGGACUUCCUCUCCACAUUUUACUAGUGAGGUUUCCGGCUCUGCAGGGCCUUGGUAGGGAAGAGGCUUCCUCUGGCCCUUCAUAUCCCACCCCACAGGUGCUGCUUCCUUCCCCUCUUCCCUCCCCCAUGCCAGGACACACUUUCAUAAGAGAAAAAAUACUUGAGGGACAUCUGGGUGGCUCAGUCUAUUAAGCGUCUGCCUUUAGCUCAGGUCAUGAUCCCAGGGUCCUUGGAUCGAACCCCGCAUCGGGCUCCUUGCUCAGCAGGGAGCCUGCUUCUCCCUCUCCCUCUGUCUGCAGUUCCCCCUGCUUGUGCUAACCGCCCU